UUAAGUUCAGCGGGUAUCCCUACCUGAUCCGAGGUCAAAAGUGAAAAAGUAGCUAUAUGGAUGCCGCUAUUUAAGGACUAAGACGCAAAAUGUGCUGCGCUUACUACCAAAAACACUGGCUGCCAAUGACUUUAAGGCGAGUCUAAUCAGAAGAGAAAAGACAAAACGCCCAACACCAAGCAAAGCUUGAAGGUACAAAU
rnacentral:misc_RNA from 1 species